CUUAAUACAUGCAAGUCAACUUGACUUUAGAUAGCAAUAUCGAAAGUAGGGUGGCGCACGGGUGCGUAACGCGUAGGUAAUCUGCCCUGAGGUCUGACAUAACCCGUCGAAAGGCGGGCUAACAUCAGAUGAUAUAUAAUCACGACAUCGUGGAAAUAUCAAAUCUUCGGAGCCUUGGGAUGAGCCUGCGUCUGAUUAGGUAGUUGGCGGAGUAAUAGCCCACCAAGCCUACGAUCAGUAGCUGGUCUGAGAGGAUGAUCAGCCACACUGGAACUGAGACACGGUCCAGACUCCUACGGGAGGCAGCAGUAAGGAAUAUUGCUCAAUGGGGGGAAACCCUGAAGCAGCAACGCCGCGUGAAGGAUGAAAUACUUUUGUAUGUAAACUUCUGUAAGAUGGGAAAAAUAUUCUCCUCGGGAGAAUUGAUUGUACCAUCAGAGUAAGCCCCGGCUAACUACGUG
rnacentral:rRNA from 1 species